rfam:Dipodomys ordii contig_64427, whole genome shotgun sequence.
GGGAAUGUGGCUUAGUGGUAGAGUACUUGUCUAGCAUGCAUGAAGCCCUGAGUUCAAUUCCUCAGUACCA